rnacentral:rRNA from 1 species
AUAUCAAUAAGCGGAGGAAAAGAAACCAACAGGGAUUGCCCCAGUAACGGCGAGUGAAGCGGCAACAGCUCAAAUUUGAAAUCUGGCUCUCGGGCCCGAGUUGUAAUUUGUAGAGGAUGCUUUUGGUGAGGUGCCUUCCGAGUUCCCUGGAACGGGACGCCAUAGAGGGUGAGAGCCCCGUCUGGUUGGACACCGAUCCUCUGUAAAGCUCCUUCGACGAGUCGAGUAGUUUGGGAAUGCUGCUCUAAAUGGGAGGUAUAUGUCUUCUAAAGCUAAAUACCGGCCAGAGACCGAUAGCGCACAAGUAGAGUGAUCGAAAGAUGAAAAGAACUUUGAAAAGAGAGUUAAACAGUACGUGAAAUUGUUGAAAGGGAAGCGCUUGUGACCAGACUUGGGCUUGGUUGAUCAUCCGGGGUUCUCCCCGGUGCACUCUUCCGGCCCAGGCCAGCAUCAGUUCGCCCUGGGGGACAAAGGCUUCGGGAAUGUGGCUCUCUCCGGGGAGUGUUAUAGCCCGUUGCGUAAUACCCUGUGGCGGACUGAGGUUCGCGCAUUCGCAAGGAUGCUGGCGUAAUGGUCAUCAGUGACCCGUCUUGAAA